rnacentral:lncRNA from 1 species
GCAGCCCCCACUGCUGCCUCAUCCACCCCGCCCCCUGAGGGGGCCACAACCCAACCUGGGGUACACAACCUACCAGUGCCCACUCUCUUUGGAACUGUAAAGCCAACCCCCAAAACAGGCACAGGGAGCCCAUUUGCUGGCAACAGCCCUGCCCGUGAGGGUGAGCAGGAUGCGGGUUCCCUGAAGGACGUUUUUAAAGGCUUUGACCCCACAGCCUCCCCCUUCUGCCAGUAGUGUUAGUGGGGGCCAGUGCUCCUCCCACUCCACCACCCUCCCAGGGUGACAUUUAGGGCAGCCUCCAGAGUUAUGGGCGGGAGGUGGGGCAGGCGGGCAGGGUGUUCUUUCUUCACAUUUUUCUUCCCCCCCCCCCCCCCCUUUUUUUCUCCUUUUUUAAAUAGUACUUCUUUGAGUCAUAAAUUGUAUCUAAUCAUCUUGGGGUCUGGUCAGUGCUGCAGGCUCCUGGGCUCCCUCUGCCCAGUGAGCAACUUAUACCCUGCAUUGGACAGUGGCAAGUACCCGGCCUGGGGCUCCCCUGGAGCUGAGGGAAGCAUGACUGGGAAAGCACUGAAGGCCACUCACCCUGUGCUGCUGGAAGUUUGUCAGAACCACAUCACAUGGUGUGGAGCUGGUACAGGAGUUUCUAGAGCCCCGGGGUCAACUGUCCUCUCUAGCAUGUAGUCUGUGUCAGCUUGCUUCAGGACAAAGCAAUAGUGAAGUGAGAGAAAGGGCCUGGCGAAGCCCGGCCCAAACCUGCUCGGCCUAUGCACCCCGCAUUCUCCGUCCAGGGUUAGCCCUGAAAGUAGCAGACACCCUGCAACCCUGCAGGGGACCCUUGAUAAGACAGACCUGUAGGAGCAGGCCUGGCAAGGCUGGGACAGCCCCCUGAAGCAUUCUCCCUCAGUAUUACCUACCCUGUGCCACUGGCCUGACUCUCGAGACAGCUCAAGGAUCCGUGGUGUGGCCACCUGCCAGGCCCCCAAGGAGAGGCCAAGAGUGGCCCUGGCAAAGUGUGUCUGCUGGUUGCUUCCACACCCUUAGCCAUGUUACCUGUAGAGUACCAGAUAGUGUUUGCUUCCCCUCCCGAGCUGACAGAGCUGGAUGUCAGUGAUCUGUUGUGGUGUUGCAUUAUUGAGUCCUUCCCAAAAUGCUGAGGAAACAGCAGGUAUCCAGCUGGUGUGUUGGCCUUUUCUAGGAAAGGGAUCAAGCCCCUUCAGGUGGGGAGGCCCAAAGUAUCUGCCAUAAACCACAUAGUGAAGGCAUUUCCACAGCCUCCCCCAUUAACACACCUUAGGGCUGGCCUUGUCCAAAGAAUGAGGGUAGUCAGAGACUCCUGUGACCAUGUCCCUAAAAUUGGAUCAGGAAACUGGGUAAGACCUGCAGACCUUUCUGCCUCUCGGUCACAUGCCAGGCCCUACAGGUCUGCUUUCUUGCAGCCUGCCUCUUUUAUAUUGGGUCUAUUGACCCAACUGCUUCCUUCUUGCUAAUAAGGAGACCUGACACACACAGCCAGUGGAUUCCCCUCCACCUCAGGGGAGGGGACAGGCUCCCAUGUCCCAUCCCACACCACCCUCAUACCCUCCACACCCCAAAGGAAUCCCUUCAAAACAGUUUGGAGCCUGUAGCCAGGGUGGGAGGGGCUUGUGCCCCACAGCCUCACAACCCUUGGGGUCAGUGCACCAAGAUCAGGUUGGUUGGUUUGUCUUGUGUUUUUUAUUUUUGUUUUAUUUUCUUAAACAAUCAUCAAUGAGAUUUGUCUUUGGGCCCCAGCCCUGGCCUCAUGGCCAAGACUGGGGCCAUGGUGAGCAUAGGAUAGGAAGAGUACAGUGUGGCAGUGUUUGGAUCCCCUUCACCCCUUUGGAAAUUCCCUUUUUGAAGGCCAGGCUUGGUAGUGCGCCUGUCAUCCCGGCACUCAGGAGGAGGGGCAGGAGGAUCACAGGUUCAAAGCCAGCCUGGUCUAUAUUAGAAAAAAGCUGUCCUUUUGCUAAAGAAAAAAUUAAAUGAAUUUUUAAGGCUGAAAUCUGUGGGUGAGGUGGAGUCUGGAGCCUUCCUCCGGAACAGUUAACUGAAGGCCCUCAUGGAACAAGGACAUCCGCUUGAAUCCCCACUUGCCGUCAGGCCACACUCGUAAAGAAAGAUUGUUCUCUAACCAGGAUUGUAACAAACGUGUAAAUAGUAUUUCUGAGUUGAAAGUCGAUGGUGCAAAUAUGUAUAUAACGUACUGUAUUUUUACAAUGAUCGUCGCAUGGCUCUCCCGCCCCUUUUGUACUCAGUAUCUGUCUUCCAGAAACCUCACCUGCCUUCUCAUGUGGUCUCUUAAUCCAGUAAUUGUAUUACUGCCAUUAAAGGAUGCAGUUAUUUUAAACAGUCGUCAA